UACGGAGGGUGCAAGCGUUAUCCGGAAUCACUGGGUUUAAAGGGUGCGUAGGCGGCUUAGUAAGUCAGAGGUGAAAGUUCUGGGCUUAACCGAGGAAUUGCCUUUGAUACUGCUGAGCUUGAAGGGAGAUGAGGCAGGCGGAAUGUGACAUGUAGCGGUGAAAUGCAUAGAUAUGUCAUAGAACACCAAUUGCGAAGGCAGCUUGCUGGUCUUCUCUUGACGCUGAGGCACGAAAGCGUGGGGAGCGAACAGG
rnacentral:rRNA from 1 species